rnacentral:rRNA from 1 species
UGGGGAAUAUUGGACAAUGGGGGCAACCCUGAUCCAGCAAUGCCGCGUGAGUGAUGAAGGCCUUAGGGUUGUAAAGCUCUUUCGACGGGGACGAUGAUGACGGUACCCGUAGAAGAAGCCCCGGCUAACUUCGUGCCAGCAGCCGCGGUAAUACGAAGGGGGCUAGCGUUGUUCGGAAUUACUGGGCGUAAAGGGCGCGUAGGCGGUCUUGUAAGUCAGAUGUGAAAGCCCCGGGCUCAACCCGGGAAUAGCAUUUGAUACUGCGAGGCUUGAGUCCGGGAGAGGAUGGCGGAAUUCCCAGUGUAGAGGUGAAAUUCGUAGAUAUUGGGAAGAACACCGGUGGCGAAGGCGGCCAUCUGGACCGGUACUGACGCUGAGGCGCGAAAGCGUGGGGAGCAAACAGG